CAACCCGCAACAAAUCUAUGUCAAGAAAGGGGAAAGACACAAAGGUACCCUCGCCACAGCUGUUUACGAACAUAAACAACAACACAAAAAGGGAUUCGAAGAAACAGAGACUUUAGCAGUGACAGAAAGACUGGCUCUAAACAGUAACACCUAUCCAACUCAGAUAGGUCUUCAAAGAGCCAGAUAACGAAAAAUUGUUCGCAUAUCUAAGGAACGAGAAGUGCCUAAUCAAGAACAGCCGCAUCAGUAAUAUCGGACUAACGGCUAUCCUGCUUACGAUCGGUGCGUCGCCGUUGUCCGUUGUGUUACGACCAGAACAAUGCCCACCUACGAAAACAACCGGAUAUGGGCGAAAACAGGUCAAAGCAAAAAGGAGUUACAACGGGGACACUAAACAUCACAUUUAGAUUAUAUGCUAUGCGAAAAAGUUUCGGUCUUCCGUCUUAGGUGAUCGUCACUUUUGGUAAGACAACGUGUUCCGUGCGGUUCUGUUGAAGCCAUCGAGUCGUGAGGCAUUGUUUUACAAGCUCCUAGAGACGCCCAAGCAACGAUUUCUUGAAAGAAAAUUAAAUGAGCGACCAAAGGAAUAAAGAAAAUGUAUGCAGAAACAAAGAACGACGCAGCACCAUGAUCACUAUUAACAAAAAGGAUUAAUAACAAUAGUUAAAAAUGGCCAAAACAUGGUGCGAAAAAAUUCGGCAGAAGAAGGUUAAAUAUAGGAGACGCACGUUGACAAGCAGAACAACAAGCCAGUGGGGAACCACUGUACCUCGCUGUCUGCGCGAGAAGACAAGGGAAGCGGAUGCUGCUCGCUUUAUAGCUGCCUUCCCUCGCGCCCCCUUGUUGUCGUUGUCCUUCGCCCUUUAGCCCCACUUUUGGCCUUUUGCAAACCCCAAGAUAGGCCUGCAAGUGGCUAUACCCUCUCCUAUUCCCGUUCCCCUAGUGGAAGGGAGAAUGGCUGCAAGCUGAAACCUACGCUCGAAGAGAAAUUCGUAAUGUUCAGGU